AUUGAACGCUGGCGGCGUGCUUAACACAUGCAAGUCGUGCGGUAACAGGCGUAGCAAUACGUGCUGACGAGCGGCGAACGGGUGCGUAAUACAUGGGAAUCUGCCCUUUAGUGGGGAAUAACCCGGCGAAAGCCGGGCUAAUGCCGCAUAAGAUCUUCGGAUGAAAGCGGGGGAUCGUAAGACCUCGCGCUGAUGGAUGAGCCCAUGUCGGAUUAGCAGUUGGUGAGGUAAAGGCUCACCAAGGCGACGAUCCGUAGCUGGUCUGAGAGGACGGCCAGCCACACUGGGACUGAGACACGGCCCAGACUCCUACGGGAGGCAGCAGUGGGGAAUUUUGGACAAUGGGGCAACCCUGAUCCAGCCAUGCCGCGUGAGUGAAGAAGGCC
rnacentral:rRNA from 1 species